AUGACAUUUCUCCAAGCAUGUUGUACUCUCCAUCGUCUUCAUAUUUUCGAAAUGUUUAGAGUAACUAGUCUAAUGUUGCCGACAAUUGCUCUUUGCAUCUUUCUUCUUGCACAUCAAGGCUUCGGAUCAAGGCUGAGGCCUACUAUCCAAGAGGUAAACGAUCCAUUAGUGAAAGGUUUGCCAUAUGCUCCAAUCAAACAAAAUCUGACAAGCUUGAAACCAAACUCCCACGGGACAGCACAUCCUCUGGAAGGACCAGGCCCAGAAGAAGUUACAUAUAUAAUUGCACACCAAACUUCUGUUGGGGGCCCUAAUGAUAAUUACUAUGGAUUACAAGCCAUCACGGACGUGUAUGGCCACGACCUCAAAACUGGCCAGUUGAGUGCUACGAUAAUUUGGGUUCAUCAUACUGGUGAUGGCUCAAAAUCAAGUUUGAAUACGAUUCAAGUUGGAUGGCAUAUUCACCCAGAACGCUAUGGCGACACUCGUACUCACUUGUUUGCCUAUUGGACGAGGGAUGGAUAUGAAACAACCGGGUGCUUCAACAGGGAUUGCCCUGGUUUCAUAACAGCAAAAGGUGCUACAGUGAGUCUAGGUGCAAUCAUAGAUCCAGUUUCCGAUCUCAAUGGUGGGAGCCUACAAAAUGUCACUCUAAAAUUGUUGAAGGAGAAGACAAGUGGAGAUUGGUGGGUGUACUACGGCUUCAAUAGUGUCCCUACUGCUGUGGGCUACUACCCAAGCUCAUUGUUCACAAACCUAGCAAAAAUUGCAAACACGGUCUCGUUUGGUGCCUAUGUGAGCGUUGACAGGGCGCAACCAACACCUCCGUUGGGCAGUGGUGCCUCACCAAAUGAUGGCCAAGGCCACGCUGCAUCCUUUAGCGACAUGCAAACUAUUGAUGUGGAUGGGACUGGCAAGCCUAUCAUGGAAGACUUGCCCAGCGUUGCCAAAUGUUACUCGAUUGCUCCUGUGUCUCAUGGAAAGUUCUUUUAUGGUGGACCGGGAGGAUGUGCGUAA
rnacentral:rRNA from 1 species